CUGGUAUUAACAUCAGAGGAUGUCCAAGUCCAGCAGAGGAGAAGAACUCGCAUUUAGCAGGCAGCUCCUAUGUCCUGGGGCCUUCCCCACAGAAUUGCAACCUUCAUUACCACUGUGAGAGGUUCUCAUCCAUGUCUAAAAGGACAGAGGAGGAGAAGAGAGAAUUUGAGAGAGGGAGGAGAGCGACCCUUUGACUUGAAGGUCUCCUGGCUCACAAGACUGAUAGGGGCCCAGCCUGCUUCAGAGGCAGAGCCUGAAUUUCCAGUUCAGACCCAGAGUCCGGAGUUGGGAGUCAUGGAGGUAGUGGUGGGGAAAGUCUCUGAUGAAGCCCUCAUCACUGGAUAGACCUUACAUUGGGAGAUCCUGGUAAAAAAAGCUAUCAGACAAGAAAGAAACAAUGAAAGGGCGAUUGAGAAAACUUGAUCCUGCCUCUGAUUUUACUUGGGAAAACCCCAGCUCUACUCAGCUGAUAUUAAACUUCUAAUCGUGUUCGCAUCGAUCUGUCAGUAGAUUUAAGGUGUGGGCCUUAAUAAUGCCAAAGAAUAAAUGAGGAUAGAGAUACUAAUAAGAGAUAUGGAUUAAAUCUGCAUGGGGCCUUUGACUAAUGUAGAAUCAGAGUGAAGGAGUAGAAUGUAACUUGUUUGCCUGCCACUGCUCUGACACACAUACUGUAAUAAUAAUAAGGAUGGAGGGUAUAACACUGUUGAAAGUUUCCUUCUUUAAAAAAGAUGGCUCCAAAGUCCAGGGGAGAACGUGAAGAAGCAUACUUGACCUUAAUGACGGCUGCCGGUCUGUCUAGUGAAGUCCCAGUCAUGUCUAAGGCAAUGAACUUGACAGAGGAUUGGGGGGAGGGUGCUGGAGGGAGAGACCACCCAGCUUCAUACACCUCUCAGUUUCAUUCUUUCAGCAAAUAUUUAAAAAUGGAUAGCUAGUAUGUGCCAGGGACUGCUCCGGUACUCGGGACGUAUCAGUUGGAUGCUUUCUAGCACGGGAACAAAGGGGAAGGAGGGUUGGGAGGAAGGCAGUGGGAAGCAGACAACAAUAAGUGCAGUAAGUUUUAUAGUAUGUUAGAGGGGAAAUUGCUAUGAAAAUAAAAGUAGAGCAAGGGAAGGGAAGGGAAGAGUCUGAGGGGCGUGGGUGGGUAGAGGCUGGUCUCCUGGAGAAGAUGAGAACUGAGCCAAGACUCAAAAGAGGUGAGGAGAUUAGCCAGGCAGAUGCCUGGGGGAGUAGUGGCCUAGGCAGAAGAGUGUGUCUGGCGUGGUAUAGUUUUAGAGGAAGAGCAAGGAGGCAGGUGAGACCGAAGGGGAGUGAGCAAGGGGACAGUCGUAGGAGACGAGGCCGUUUCUAAAGGAAAUGGGCCCAUGGCACUUUAGGCCUUGUAGGCCAGUUUGAGGACUUUGGUUUUCAUUCUGUCGGAAAUGGGGAGCCAUUGCAAGUUUUUGAGCAGAGAAGUGAUGGAAUGGCUUUGUUUUUAAAGGAUCAGUGGACUGCUGAGUUCGAAAUAGACCCUGAGGGGCCUGGGUAGAAGCAGAGUAACCUGUUAGGAGGCUAUUGGAGUCAUCCAGCUCAGGGGGGAGGGGAUAGCUCAGUGGUAGAGUGCGUGCUUAGCAUGCAUGACGUCCUGGGUUCAGUCCCCAGUACCUCCAUUAAAAUAAAUAAAUAAAUAAAUAAAUAAACCUAAUUACUUCUCCCCCCCCCAAAGUAAACAAACAAAUAUAUAAAACUUUCAAAAAAGAAAUUCAGGUGAGAGGUGACGAUGACUCAAACAGCUGUGGAAAAGAUGGAACACGGAUGGAUUCUGGCUGUAGUCUGGCCCCAACUUCAUUUGCCUCCAGAAUUGAUCUAACCCGAUUCAGAUAGUGGUUCAUACUCCAUUUUUAAUGUCUCCUAUCAUUGCUCAUUAAAUUAAGGUCUCUAAGUCCUCCUUGCCUUUUCUAAAUUACUCUCCAGGUCUUCAGUCCACGUAAAAAUGACAGUUCUUUACUUCAGACACCAGUGGCCACAGUACCAGGUACUGUCUGUGAAAUUACAAGGGAAGUAGUCCCUGAUUUGUUUAAUUGGGAAGACAGUGUUGGCAAAGAGAGGCAGAGCAGAGACAAAGAGCCAAGAGGCUCAAAAGGAAAAGCAAGGAAACUGUGCGAAGCAUUUUCAGCAUAGCGCAAGUCAGUUCUCUGAAAUGAUAGCACAUGCGUUUCUGGGUCAGAUGAGAUGAAGAUAAACAAAUCUCACUUUGGACAAGUAACAUAAGCUCUCUGAGUUUUGGUUUCCUUAUCUGCGAGAUGGUUAUAAUAAAAUAAUUCUUGCUCUAUCUAU